GGCUGGUCCCAAGGUAGUGAGUUAUCUCACGUGAUUGUUCACAGUCAGUUACAGAUUGAACUCCUUGUUCUACUACUUUCCCCCCUCCUCACUACUGCACUUGACUAAAAA
rnacentral:Y_RNA from 1 species